CUCCUCUCAGGGUCACACCUGGAGAGUUCCCAGUACUCUACCAGUCUCGACUACAAGAGGGAGAGUCAGGCAGAGGCAUAUCCAUCCCAUUCCUAGCUUGGGCAGUGUCUAGCGAGUGGAAGGCAAUCUACUACAAGU
rnacentral:snoRNA from 1 species